UACGGGAGGCAGCAGUGGGGAAUAUUGCACAAUGGGCGCAAGCCUGAUGCAGCCAUGCCGCGUGUAUGAAGAAGGCCUUCGGGUUGUAAAGUACUUUCAGUCGUGAGGAAGGUGUUAAGGUUAAUAACCUUAGCAAUUGACGUUAGCGACAGAAGGAGCACCGGCUAACUCCGUGCCAGCAGCCGCGGUAAUACGGAGGGUGCGAGCGUUAAUCGGAAUUACUGGGCGUAAAGGGCACGCAGGCGGUUAAUUAAGUUGGAUGUGAAAUCCCCGGGCUUAACCUGGGAAUGGCAUUCAAGACUGGUUAGCUAGAGUCUUGUAGAGGGGGUAGAAUUCCAUGUGUAGCGGUGAAAUGCGUAGAGAUGUGGAGGAAUACCGGUGGCGAAGGCGGCCCCUGGACAAAGACUGACGCUCAUGUGCGAAAGCGUGGGGAGCAAACAGGGAUUAGAUACC
rnacentral:rRNA from 1 species